AUUGAUGGCAUUGAGAACAAGCAAGUGCGUGUAUGCUUGCCAUAUGCGAGAGCGCUCCACGAUAGCGCCGUGGCCUGAGCGAGCUGGGCAUGGAAAGAAAAGGAAAACGCCCCGCGGAGAAAAAAGGCAAGCGCCUUUCCAUCAGGUCACCUACCCGCACUUCCCCUCCCACUUCCCCAACCUUCGUUCCCAAAUCCCAAAUGCUGGGAGCAGGUGGCGGCGGCGGAGGUUGGAGGAGAAGGAGUUGUGUGCUGCUCGUAGGCGGAUGCGAGGGCAUCGACAGCGGUGGAGGUCGGAGCAGAAGGGAUCUGGGAGAUCGAGAUGGUGGAAGGCCAUGGUGGACAUGUGUAGUGGGCGGCGGCCACCGACUGAUAUGGGCGCAAGCAGUGGUGGAUGUCGGAGGAGAUGCAAGGAGGGCGCCGCUGGAUCGGGGAGGCUGUGGAGUAGGGAAGCAGCAAUAGUGAGGAGUUGGGAUGAGAGCGGCGAGGGUGGAGGGGGCGUGGAGAAGACGAGAAAAUUGGGAAAUUUUUUUACGGCCCCACCUCCUUCUUUCCCUUGCUGUCAUAGCGAGCAGAAGACAUGACUAGAAGAUUUCGGCCGCCCCUUCACCUGCCAUAAUGAUUUCUCAGUAAUCCAAGCACUUUCAGCUGGCGCAGCACCAGGAGAAAAUGAACCCAGUGGAGCACCUCGAGUAUCAGAUCUGUAAAUGAUUCUUUUGGUACUAAAUGGGCGAGACUAGAAUUGGAGCUUGAAGAUCUUAGAGAUACCUGACGGGAGAAGGGUCACCUUCCAGCCGUCGCAUGGCAACACGAUCGGGCCCUUUGACUCAAUGGCCACGACAAUGGAUGUGCAGCUUCAAGUUUCUGCUGCGACGACCUAAAGGAUUCAGGUGAGGAGAAAAUGUGCCUUCCCGGCCAGAGUAGGGUGCUGAACUGGCAACCUUGCCUUUUCCACACCAUCUCCAGGAUGCACACGCCCACCUCAGCUUGGAUUAUUAAGGUUAUAUUAUCAUGUACUAUUGCUGCCUCGUGAUGAUUAAUUACGAGAACAGUGUAUGUUGGAGGCUCACAAGAAAAGGCUGGAGCGACCAUGUUGGCGAGGCUGUCCAAGGAACAUAUUUGCUUGCUACGGGUCGUAAAUUUUGAUGGAUUCAGGCCAGGCGCUUUGUCUGACUUUUUUUUUUGGCACAACUACUCUGCCCAACGUUCGAGGAUCUUACUGACAUAUCAUCAUGGACCAGAAGAAUUUGCAUACCUUGAAAUGCAAUGCUGGUCAAUCUUGAUCAGUUGUCUCAGUGCAAAGCUGAGCAGAGAUAUGGUUCAUUGAUGGCAGUUUUAUAUCUCAUGACAUUCUUGUUCUUCCUACCAAAUACUGAUGGAGGUAACACUCAAUAAAGACACCAUGUUUUAUAAUCAAAUUUAUGUCCAAUGAUAACAAGAGAUUAUUGACAGACUAAUAUAUGAUGCAUGUUUGGGAUGACACAAAAUGGGUAUAUGUUCUUUCAUCGGAUGGCUUAUGUGAUCUUGAUCAAGCACAUUCUAGAGAAGUUCCCUUCACGUUUAUCUUUUGGUUUGUGACUGAAUUAGAUCUUUAUUUUUCUUUUUUAUGUUCAUACAUGAUUGGAUAUGCUGACAUGCAUUUAUACAUUUCUUGCAUAUCUUAUAGAUAAAUGCAAUUCUAGGAAGUAGGAACACACAUGCAUAUAAGAAUGAUUACAGAUGCCCCACUUUGUCUGAUUUCUUUUGCAUGUAACUAAUCCUAACCAUUUUCCGUGGUUCUUGUCCAGUGGUGCAAUAUAUUAGUACAUCUCUCCUUCAUUGAAUUUUUUCUACAUACUUAUACUCUUAUGUAAUUUCCAGGGGAGGCACUUCUGGUAUCAAGUGGUCUCAUCCUUUACUUUGGUAAUAUGCUGGCUCAUAAUCUUUAAGAGAGUAUUGUGAAUUUGUGAGUUCCUUUGGGUUUGGGCCGUGAGAAGAACUUCUAUGUGUUGAAGCUAGGUCUUGCGGGACGGUGUGCUUCAUGUGGUUCCACUCUGCCUUCGCUUUCUUACUUCUGCGAAUGGGAUGGGAUGGGGUGCAAGCAGGAGACUCGGCCUCAAAUCAAAAGGCUACAACUACUCAAUCUCAAUGGGGACAUAAAAAUGCAUGUUGUGGAUGCAUGGGUUUCACUGACCGAAGAAGAUCAGCAAAUCAAAUAUUGAUGGAGCUUACACACAGGGAAAUUUUCAUGGUGGAUGGGGUCUCAUCACAAGGAAUUGCAGGGGUGAGACCAUGGCUGCAAGAGCUGUUUUCAUAUCCGGGAUGCCUUUUCUGAACGGUCGAGGAAGCAAUUAAUUAACCUAGCAUUUGACCCGUGAAUCAUUCGCGUGGAGGUGGAAACAGAUGUGCUGCUUGUCCAUCAGGCAUUGAACCUCAGAUGGAUUCGCCUUCGUUAGCCCAGGUAAUUGAAGACCGGAAGUUGCGGUGCAAGAUGUGAUUUUGUGACUGCACUAUUAACAAUGUGUACUAGCCUAUGGCCUGGCGAAUUUGAGUGCUAACUUUAAAUUGAAUGAAACCAUGUAACGAAAGUAUGAAUUAGCAGCAACUAUUGUUGGGAUUGUAA